UGGAUUUUCUGACGAGCUCGACGGCCGGUAAGGAUGCACGAGCCAUAGAAAGGAGGAAAAAUAAGAGAGGAAGGAGGGUCGGGGCUUACCUUCAACUCUGGUGAGAUCUCUGACGAGAAUUUGAGGCAAGCACGAAGACGAUAUCAGCAGCUUCAAUGAAAAAAUUUGAGAGAAAGAGAAGGGAGAACUCGAUGCUUGUCAUGGCCGACC
rnacentral:lncRNA from 1 species